UCUUUCCUAUUGCCAGGAGCUUCGUGUUCAUGCAUUUUCUCUGCAUAUUUUGAUUAUAGUGAUGUUAUGUCUCAGCAAGCAAUUGUUCUCAACUAUGCAUCUAUACAAAUAUGCCAGGAGUUGUUGCAUUGUGCUAAGGUAGUUUUCGGUGUGGUUUGGCAAUUUAUUAUCACAUAUAUGUAAAAUUGCUUUCCAAGCCAACCCACCCACCCAUAGGACUUGGUUAAAAUUCUCCUUAUUUUUUUCUGACCAAAAAAAUCUGGUUUACUGCAUUUCCAUUGCACCAAUGGUGGCAUGAUAUCACAGUCGUGUUUAAAUUAAGGCAAUCAGCUGUACACAUUCAGCAAACUAAGGGUUGCUUUGGCAUAUAUUGCUAGCUCUGGAUUUGUUGGACAUCCUUUUAUGUAAAAAUAUCUUCCAACGCAUACAACUUUUGAGCUAUAGAUGUCAUUUGAACCUUAAGACAAGCUUUAACAUAGAUGAAAAAUAUCUUCCAACACAUGCAACUUUCGAGAUAUACAUGUGAUUUGUUCAUCCUGACUAUAAUUUAUGUAUAGCUUUAUAGUUUCUGAAUCUUUUAUUUUUCUUAUUCCUUUGGUUUUUCAAAUGACAUGUAUAUCUUGAAAGGUGUAUGUGUUGAAACAUAUAUUUAUUCUAUGUUAAAUCUCAUCUUCAGGUUCGUUAUACCUGUCUCACAGUCUGAUUAUUUUUAAAAUAUAAGCCAAAUUACUAAAUAUUGGUCCCUGGAGUUUUCACUUGUCAUAAAAGUAGUGAGAAAACCCAUUGGAAUGCCUUUGCUCAGGCUCCUAUUCCAUGGUCAAGCACCUGGUAUGCCACUUUAACAUAUUGUUGAGCAUAAUGUGGAAUUUUUUCUACCCCCCAGGAGAACUAGCUUCCAUCAACUUGCGCAAUUUUCGGUUCGUAGUCUGGCUUACUUAAAAAAUUGGUCACUAAUAACUGAUUACAUUUCAUUGAAGAAACUUGGAUAAGAGCACAAUCGCACCUUCCAAAAUAAAUGCAGUUUUACCUAUCAUUAACCAUCUGAACUUUAUCUCCAUCAACAGGUUAGGCUAGCCCAACCACAAGAAAUAGAGUACUUAUAUUGUUGAAACGAAGAGUUUGCAUAAAAAUAACUGUUGUGCGAACUCGACAACGGCUUCAAGUUGCAAACCCUCGCUCUGGCUCUCAGAUUUCCUGCACCGCCAUCUGCACAGGCCAAAAGCAAGGUCAGACCCGGCUCUGCGCCUCCGCCCUCAACCUUCUGAUGCCACAGCCCUCCAGAGACGGCAACAACAGUACCGUUGUCAGACCCUCCUUGCCCUUCCAGUACCAACUACCAAGGAAGGAAAUCGUCAUCGUCCUCUCAUCUGACAAGGAGGACAAUGACACCAGGUACUGAGGAGCUCAAGGUGAACGAAAAGUCGGAGCAACUACAACAGCGUACCACUGAUGUUGUAUAACAACAGUAUGGCUAAGAAUCCUUAAUGCAGAUCGCUCCUCUACUGCUAAUUAGGGUAAUAUAUGAACAAUCACCAUCUCUGGCUGAAGCCUGUGGAAAUAAGAGUCGGUGUUGUGUGAAAUAGUCCAGUAGAACAAUGCACCAGCCCCAUCUGGCUUAUGUAAACAAUGUUUGUAUGAAAAUCAAAAUUAGGCUGCUCCCUCAGGAAUCAUUAGAUUAAUUGUUUGUUUGCUUAUACAUAAUAUCUUGGCAUCGUUGUCUUUCAAAGUGAUUGGGAUCAUACCGCGAAGCGGGCCGCCUUCCGACCUAGUA